UAACAUGUCAGCUUUCUAUUUUUUUUAACAUAGGCUGGACAUCCCCAAGUCUUAAGAUAACUCAAACUCAAUUUCUUACCAUGCCAUAUCUCAGUAAGGCAUCUUAGAAGGAACAGACUUAGAAGGAAUCUUUUUUAAAAUAUGCAUCACAGUAAGGUAUGUCCCUAAAGAAAUAAGGGUAAGAUAGUGAAACUCAUCAUGGAUUAGACCAUAUCCAAUAGGAUCCUAUUUCUCCU
rnacentral:lncRNA from 1 species